CAAACUGUCAAAAAAUGCUGACUCUGCUGUGAUUCAGAAAGAUCACUAGGACAAAAAAUGGUUGGUAAGUAAAAUCUAAUCAGCAAAUGGUUUCACAGCUCAUGUCUGAUUCAAGCACAAGAUGAUGGAAGAAGCAUGUUAUUCAAUGUUGUGUCUUGGGAAGAAUCAAGAAUAGUAGUGUGUCUGAGAAGCAGCAAGAAACAAAGCACCAGUGCCAGCACCUCCAUGUGGAGUUUGAAUGAUGACAUUGUCAGAGAGAUCGUUUCCCAGCAUUUCCCAGACACCACUGUGAAGCAAGACGUGCCCCUCGUUCUGUUACUAUGUCACACACCUCUGCCACUACUUCUCGUGCCAUCUCACUCGAAUCUGUUAUCUGCUUCACCCCCAAAUUAUAAAAAAAGAUUUGAUUUUUUCAUUUCAAUGCAAGGUGCUCUGCACAGUGCCAAGUGAAUUACGCCAAGAAAAACAUUAGUUCUCCGUUCUUGCUUUCAAGGAUAGGAUUAUACAAUACCUUAGUUGAUAGGGAAUCAUAAGCUGAGGAGGUACUCUGUCUCCGAACAGAGCUGUUUCUUGAGCCAACUUCAACAAGACUCGUCUCACAAUUUCUCCCAAGUACAUGCCCGAAACAACCUUGCCGAAAGUCUGUUUUUGGUGAAUCCAUCUGGGAACAUCUUGAGAUGAUUCAACAUAAACAGCAUUUGUGCUCAUUCCCAAUGUGACUGCAGCAACAUUGUCCCUACUGUAGUACCUUCCUCCAGACAAACCCCCUACAGUAUCCUCAACCUACUCACCAUUUGAAAUUUUCACUGCUUCGCAACUUAAACUAAAACUAAAUGCAUGCGUGUUUAAGAUUUGGAUUUUGAGUGUCUUGAGUCUUCUCACCUAGUGAGUGUCUAUACUGUAAUUGUAGAAUUUCAUCAAUUUUUAAAAAUUAAUACUUAAAUAGAAAUGAAUAAAACAGUGAGUUGAAGAACAAUUAUACAAGGUUACAUUUUAUGUUUUUAACCAUUUCUCUAAAGCCAAUUGGAGACACGGGAUUGUGGGUUAGUGCAUACAGAAAAUGUAAAAAUAAUAAAAAUUAAAAUUAAAAUACUGUUAUUUUUUAUAAAAGUAAUAUAAAUUUGAAUUUAAGAGGUCCAAAAUUUAAAAUCUCUUAAGUGAAAUAUCAGAAGCUCAAUUUUUUUAGAACUCAAAUAUGUUUUAUUUUGAGUCUAAUGGAUUCAAAAUUAUUGGGGAAGUAGAGCAAAUUUUCAAAAGUUACCAUACAUACUUACAAAUUCCUGUAAGUUGAAGGCACCUGCUUACCCGAUCAAUUUCAAAUAGAUCUUCACUGUUGGAUUAAGGUAUAGAGUACAAUAAAAUAGUGAUUUGGUAUUUUUUUCUUUAUCCUAUGCUUAUAUCUCCUUGGUCAAUCAUUCGAUUAAGUCAAUUAUUUUUACCAUGCCACAUAACACACUCAAUGGGCGAGAAGAUUUCAGAUAUUAAAUCAUCAGGAUCUAUUUGUGUGAAAGAGGGAGGGGAGUUAAUUACCAUAGCAACAACUUGAAUGUUAUUGAUCCCAUGGUUCUUUAAGGCUUGAUUGAAGUCAUUGACCAUCUCUUUCCCGACCUAUGGUUACAGGACACCAAAAUAUAUACAAAGUCAUGUAGCAUGCAUGCAUGUGCAUAACAAUAACGCAAGUACUGUGAAACCAAACUCAACUGGGUCUUCUGCGGAGAAGGUUUUCCAGUGGUUUAAUGUAGUACCAGCUUGGCCGACCAGGUUAGACAAAGUGAACCCCAGUUUCUUUGGAACGUUAGAUAUUUCCUUCUCAGGAUGUGCCACAAUAAAUUUCGCUAUCUCUGUAGCCACAAACUCAAACACCACCUGCCAGCCACACAGUUCACAGGUUCAAUAUUAUGUAUCAAUCGCAGACAAGAAACUUUAGGUUACGAGGAAGAAGAUAUAUACCUGUCUAGUUGCAUCCAGGAGAUCAGGAGGGAAGGAGAUUUCUUCUCUGUCUAAGUCAGAGACGUGGCUGUUCUUUCCUCUGAGACGAGCACACAAAAUCAAGAAGUUUGUGCUUCUCAUGUUAACCCCGUAGAAGAAACCUUCCUCUUCUCUGUCAAUGCCAAAUAAUUUAACCUAACUGAAUGAAAAAACACACACAGGAAAAGGCAUUUUGAACAGAAGAGGAAGAAGUACCCAUUAG